UACAGAGGUCUCAAGCGUUGUUCGGAUUCAUUGGGCGUAAAGGGUGUGUAGGUGGCGCCGUAAGUCGGGUGUGAAAUUUCGGAGCUUAACUCCGAAACUGCAUUCGAUACUGCCGUGCUUGAGGACUGGAGAGGAGACUGGAAUUUACGGUGUAGCAGUGAAAUGCGUAGAUAUCGUAAGGAAGACCAGUGGCGAAGGCGGGUCUCUGGACAGUUCCUGACGCUGAGGCACGAAGGCCAGGGGAGCAAACGGG
rnacentral:rRNA from 1 species